rnacentral:rRNA from 1 species
GACGAACGCUGGCGGCGUGCUUAACACAUGCAAGUCGAACGGUAAGGCCCUUCGGGGUACACGAGUGGCGAACGGGUGAGUAACACGUGGGUGAUCUGCCCUGCACUUCGGGAUAAGCCUGGGAAACUGGGUCUAAUACCGGAUAGGACCACUGCCUGCAUGGGUGGUGGUGGAGAGCUUUUGCGGUGUGGGAUGGGCCCGCGGCCUAUCAGCUUGUUGGGGGGGUGAUGGCCUACCAAGGCGACGACGGGUAGCCGGCCUGAGAGGGUGACCGGCCACACUGGGACUGAGAUACGGCCCAGACUCCCACGGGAGGCAGCAGUGGGGAAUAUUGCACAAUGGGCGCAAGCCUGAUGCAGCGACGCCGCGUGAGGGAUGACGGCCUUCGGGUUGUAAACCUCUUUCAGCACCGACGAAGCGCAAGUGACGGUAGGUGCAGAAGAAGGACCGGCCAACUACGUGCCAGCAGCCGCCGUAA